rnacentral:rRNA from 1 species
ACUCGUAGACUCCUACGGGAGGCAGCAGUGAGGAAUAUUUGGACAAUGGGCGGGAGCCUGAUCCAGCCAUGCCGCGUGCAGGAAGACUGCCCUAUGGGUUGUAAACUGCUUUUUGUACAGGAAGAAACACUCCCUCGUGAGGGAGCUUUGACGGUACUGUAAGAAUAAGGAUCGGCUAACUCCGUGCCAGCAGCCGCGGUAAUACGGAGGAUCCAAGCGUUAUCCGGAAUCAUUGGGUUUAAAGGGUCCGUAGGUGGAUGAUUAAGUCAGAGGUGAAAUCCUGCAGCUCAACUGUAGAAUUGCCUUUUGAUACUGGUUGUCUUGAAUUAUUGUGAAGUAGUUAGAAUAUGUGGUGUAGCGGUGAAAUGCAUAGAUAUCACAUAGAAUACCGAUUGCGAAGGCAGAUUACUAACAAUACAUUGACACUGAUGGACGAAAGCGUGGGGAGCGAACAGGAUUAGAUACCCUGGUAG